rnacentral:rRNA from 1 species
UACAGAGGUCUCAAGCGUUGUUCGGAUUCAUUGGGCGUAAAGGGUGCGUAGGUGGCGCCGUAAGUCGGGUGUGAAAUUUCGGAGCUUAACUCCGAAACUGCAUUCGAUACUGCGGUGCUUGAGGACUGGAGAGGAGACUGGAAUUCAUGGUGUAGCAGUGAAAUGCGUAGAGAUCAUGAGGAAGACCAGUGGCGAAGGCGGGUCUCUGGGCCGUAACUGACGCUGAGGAGCGAAAGCGUGGGGAGCGAACAGG